GUUUUUUGGCCGAAAGUGGUUAAGGCGAUGGACUUGAAAUCCAUUGGGGUUCUCCCGCGCAGGUUCAAAUCCUGCCAACUACG
rnacentral:tRNA from 1 species